UACGACUACAUAUCAGGCAUAUCAAUAAGCGGAGGAAAAGAAACUAACAAGGAUUCCCCUAGUAACGGCGAGUGAAGCUGGGAAGAGCUCAAAUUUGAAAUCUUAAAGGGUUUCCCUUUACGAAUUGUAGUUUAAAGAAGUGUUUUCUGUUGAAGUUUUGGUAAAAGUUCUUUGGAAUAGGACAUCAUAGAGGGUGAGAAUCCCGUAUUUGACCAUUACUUCCAGCGUUGUGAUACACUUUCAAAGAGUCGGAUUGUUUGGGAAUGCAGUCCAAAAUGGGUGGUAAAUUUCAUCUAAAGCUAAAUAUUGGCGAGAGACCGAUAGCGAACAAGUACCGUGAGGGAAAGAUGAAAAGAACUUUGAAAAGAGAGUUAAACAGUACGUGAAAUUGUCAAAAGGGAAGCGUUUGACACCAGUGUUGUUUUCUCGAAAAUCAAUUAAAAAGUAUGGGAUUUUGUAUUGUUAAGACCUUAUCAGCUUACGGUACUUUUUUCUUAUUCUUUUUAAUGCACUUUUCGUUUAACAAGUCAACAUCAAUUUCUUUUGUUGUAAAAGAGUCAUUGGAAGGUGGCUUUCACUUCGGUGAAAGUGUUUAUAGCCUUUGGCUUCUGCAAUCGGAGAGAUUGAGGUCUGCAGCGUAGAUCCUUCGGGGUUAGAUACAUUUGUGCUAAGUUAUAGCCUUUCAUAGACAACUUGUUGACUAUGAUCAGUCAUGUAGCUUACUCGCUUAUGCUAUUUUACCUACGCUUAGGAUGUUGACGCGCGUGUGUGCGUG
rnacentral:rRNA from 1 species